rnacentral:tRNA from 1 species
UAAAAAUUAGUUAAAUUAUAAUAUUAAAAUGUCAUUUUAAAGUUAUUAAAAAUAAUAUUUUUAA